AUACGGAGGAUCCGAGCGUUAUCCGGAUUUAUUGGGUUUAAAGGGAGCGUAGGCGGAUGUUUAAGUCAGUUGUGAAAGUUUAAGGCUCAACCUUGAAAUUGCAGUUGAUACUGGAUAUCUUGAGUACAUUGAAUGUGGGCGGAAUUCGUGGUGUAGCGGUGAAAUGCUUAGAUAUCACGAAGAACUCCAAUUGCGAAGGCAGCUCACAGUAAUGUAACUGACGCUGAUGCUCGAAAGUGUGGGUAUCAAACAGGAUUAGAUACCCUGGUAGUCCACACAGUAAACGAUGAUUACUAGUUGUUUGCGAUAUACCGUAAGUGACUAAGCGAAAGCGAUAAGUAAUCCACCUGGGGAGUACGCCGGCAACGGUGAA
rnacentral:rRNA from 1 species